UCAUUUUGCUCAAGCUGGCGCUCGCCUUCCUCGUGCCAGACAAGCCGCGUUGGGUGGAGAUUGAGCAGUCCAAGCAGCGGUACCAUGAGAAGCGCGUCCACAA
rnacentral:SRP_RNA from 1 species